UCUAGGUAGGACUAAGACAUGUGGGAAGCCUGAGGUUCAGUCCCCACCACCAGUUGAUGUGAUGGUCUAUUCCUAGCAGUGAGAGGAAGGUAGGACUGCACACCUAGUUCUGGUUGGGCAAUGGUUUCAAGACCAGUUUCAGAAUAAUUCUCAGGGGCCUUGGAGGUCACGGCCCCAUGGCCCCUGUGAUCCGAGGGCUGUAUCACAUGUCACCAGCAGAGCUGAGGCUGGGGAAUGAGCGCUGGCAUUCCACAGGCUAUGUCUAAUAAUAACAAUGUUAUCAACACUGGGAGGCUGAGCUGGCCUGGAGUGUGUGGCUGGGUACCCAGAGGCCAGUGCCCUGAAAGGAGAGCCAUGCUGGGUGAAUGGAGAAGAAGACGCCAGCCUGCAGACAACAGCUUGCGGCUAACAUCAGAAGCCCUGGCAACAUUUUACAACCUGGACACAUUAAUGGGCUGGUGGUUAUCUGGCAGGAAUAGGAAGCUGGGUUUGGAAACAAUGAAUCCUUUUUAGGUACAAGGUCGGUGCCUGAGGGACCUUGAGGCUGAGCCACCCCGCCCUCAUUCUCAUGAGGGAACAGACCCCGGAGCUGGGACGCCAGCUUUCUGGAGGGGGGAGGGGAGGCCACCCUUUCAUGGCACAGAAGGCCUGUGCUGAGCACACCACACCCAGGUCCCACUAAGGCUUAUGGGGAAGUUUCCAAAGCUGGAGCAGGGUGGGAGCUGGGGGACCCCAGAGGUUACUCCUUUUAAGCCACUUCUCAGUGAGAAUGAAGGCAACCAUUGCCAGCUCUACAUGGAGCAUCAAACCUUGUCUGAGUCUCUGAUUGUAAGACCUGAGUGAGAAACUGAGACUUUUAACCCUUUAGUCUCCUCCCCCUCCAGUAGGGUAAAGGGAGCCAUGUCCAGUACAAGAGCCUAUGUAUGAUUGGCUGAGGUCACACAGGGGACAUGCUUAGCAUCAUGUGAGAAGGUGGUCAGCACUAGGGCCUUUCCACAACAUUGCCUCUAGCUAAACACCCCCCCCAAUAAAGGCUGUUCCAACCUUCUUCUGUAGGCCCCUUCUUUGCUUUGUUUUGUUAGUAGUGCCUACUGCCUAACAUCCUAUGGUGUUAUAGUUGUGAUCAUGGGGAGAAGAGAGACUGCUUCGUCUUCUGAUUAGUCCCAGGUACCUAGGCUCAUGCCUCAUAUAUAGUCGUGACCCUAUAGCCACUGAAUAAAAGAUAACAUGGUUAUCUCAGUCCACUUUCUGUUGACAGAGUACCCAAGGCUGGGUAAUCCAUAAAUAAUAGAGAUAUACUUGCCCUGUGGUUCAGUGGGGUGGCAAGUCCAAAAGCAUGGGCAGGUAUCUGGCAAGGGCCAGGGUACUUCUUCAUUCCAUUGUGGAAGGCAGAAAGGUAAGCACUCUGAGCAGGAUAGAGCAAAAUAGUAAAUCCACUCUUGAGAUAGCCACACUCAUAGCACUGUGAAUUUAUUUAAGGAUGCAGAACACCAGGGCCCAUUACCUCCUAACACAUGCUUGGUGGGUCAGCCACUCAUUCGAACCAUUGCAAUGAUGAUGACGAUGAAGGGGAGGGUCACGUGUGAAAAGUCCCCAGUGGAUCCCCAGUGGACCUUCUGGGGUCAAUAUCUGCAAGUCGUGUGUAGCUGCUGACUCUGGGUUGAAGAAUUCUCUAGCAGAGAGGAGGAGGAAGCCGAGGAAGCCAUAAGAAAGUUAACUGACUCCUCACCAGACCCCAGAGGAGAUUACAUCAUCAAGUCCUGAGGUGCAGAGGUCCUUCUGGGUUGAGCUGUGCAGAGCUCCAGCAACGCAGCUUUGAGGAUUUGUCACCCAAGCAGAGGUGGGAUUCCCAGCGAUGCACCUACCCCAGCCACCCAUAUCUUAGUAAAUAAUGUCCAUAAAUUCAUCACUCACCAAACUGAACUCAAGUAAAAUGGUUGCUUUAGUCUGUUAGUUGCCCUAUCUAUGUGGUCUGAGUAGAAAGAGACUCCCUGGGGAAAGCUUGGCUACAAUGUAACGAAUACAAGUGCAGGGGCCUCCGGUGAGAUUCAAUUUAAGAUAAAGAAGAAAACCUUGUUUUCUUAUUAAGACAAACCCACAUUUUGCAGAGAGCAUACCAGUGUGUGUGUGUGUGUGUGUGUGUGUGUGUGUGUGUGUGUGUGUGUGUGCAUGUGUGUGUGUGCAUGUGUGCACAUGUAUGUAUGUGUGUGUAUGCACAUGUGUGUAUGCAUGUCUGUGCCUGUGUGUACAUGUCUGUAUGGUGUGUAUGCACACAUGAAUGCAUACAUGUAGAGGUAAGAGAUUAGUGGCAGAUGUCUUCCUCAAUCACCCUCCACACUAUAUUUUGAGGCAGGGUCUCUCAGUUAGUUAACCUGGAGCUUGCUGGGUUUUCUAAACUAGCCGGCCAGCAAGCUCAGUAACACCAUCCCCCCAUUUCCAUUUCUCUGGUGCUGAGACAAUGGGCAUGAGCCAGCACACUUAGCUUUUCACUCAGGUCCUCAAUGAGCCACCUCUGUACCCCAGGGCGAUAUACUUGAUGUUCUAACAUUACCCGUUGCUUGUCUGACAUGAAAUUUUAGCUGACCAUCCUGCUUUUUUUGUUGUUUGUUUGUUUGAUUUUUUUUUUUUUUUUUUUUGGCUGUAUGAGAGCCCUUAUGCAAAAGAGUUCCCGUUCAUGAACAAACAACAUGUUAAAGUGGGAAGGUCAGGUUCGGCCACAGAGUGCCAGUGAUGUUCAUAACUGAUACUUGGGAUGAAGGAAGCUUGACUUACAUUUACCAAUUCUCAGAGGGUAAAUACGCUUCUGGUGGCUUCAGGCUGCACCAGAGACCAAAAUGAAAGGCAGAAGAGUGAAUAGCACGGUGGGCUUUGCUAAGCCAGGAUGAGCCUGACUCUCCAUGCUAUGGCCCAGAAGACACAGGAUUGAAGACGCAAACAAUAAACAAAUAAGAAAAAUAAAAUAAAGCCUCUCACACUGCACCAUGGGAAGGUCUCGGUGGCUGCUUCCCCGUGUGUUACCUCAGCCUGAAACUUCUGUGAGGAAUGACUGUCUCUGUUGUUUGUUUGGUUUGUUGGCACCAGUGGGGGAAGGAGGCCAGAGAGAGUUCAAAAGUCCAGCUGCUCAGCAAAUCAGCUCUUCCUCCAUACCACCCUGCCUCUGUGGUCACUGGACUUGGAGCUCCAAGGGGCCCCAGAGCUAAGCAUAUCGACUUGUCCAGUGAUGACUGCUGCAAACCUGUAAUCCCAGCACUGGGGAGGAGGAGGUAGUAUAUCCCUGGGGAUCACUGGCCUGCCAGACCAGCCUACUUCAUGAGCUCCAGGCCAAUGAGAGAUAGUCUCAAAAUAACAAAAAGCAAAACAAAAGCAAUAGACAGUGUCUGAAGAACAACACCUAACAUUGUCAUUCACUCUCAGCAUGCACACACACACAUCACACCCAUACACAUGGGCAUACACACACACAUACAUCACACCCAUACACAUUGAUACAUACACACACAACCACACACACACACACACAUCACACCCAUACACCUGGGCAUACACACACACACACAUCACACCCAUACACCUGGGCAUACACACACACACACACAUCACACCCAUACACCUGGACAUACACACACACAUACACACACACAUACAUCACACCCAUACACCUGGGCAUACACACACACAUACAUCACACCCAUACACCUGAGCAUACACACACACACACAUCACACCCAUACACCUGGGCAUACACAUACACAUACAUCACACCCAUACACCUGGGCAUACACACACACAUACAUCACACCCAUACACCUGGGCACACACACACACACAUACACAUACAUACACACAUCACACCCAUACACCUGGGCAUACACACACACAUACACACACACACACACACACAUCACACCCAUACACCUGGGCAUACACACACACAUACAUCACACCCAUACACCUGGGCAUACACACACACACACACACCACACCCAUACACCUGGGCAUACACACACACAUACACAUACACACACACACACAUAUCACACCCAUACACAUGGGCAUACACACAUUACAUCCAUACACAUGGGCGUACACACACACACCACAAUAAUCUUCAUCCCUUCAUUUCUGAUUGCCUAGACUCUUCUCUUCAGCUGUAUCGCAGUCUCUGUCUCUUUCUGUCUCCCUGCCUCUUCUUUCU
rnacentral:lncRNA from 1 species